rnacentral:rRNA from 1 species
GACGAACGCUGGCGGCGUGCCUAAUACAUGCAAGUUGAGCGCUGAAGGUUGGUACUUGUACCAACUGGAUGAGCAGCGAACGGGUGAGUAACGCGUGGGGAAUCUGCCUUUGAGCGGGGGACAACAUUUGGAAACGAAUGCUAAUACCGCAUAAAAACUUUAAACACAAGUUUUAAGUUUGAAAGAUGCAAUUGCAUCACUCAAAGAUGAUCCCGCGUUGUAUUAGCUAGUUGGUGAGGUAAAGGCUCACCAAGGCGAUGAUACAUAGCCGACCUGAGAGGGUGAUCGGCCACAUUGGGACUGAGACACGGCCCAAACUCCUACGGGAGGCAGCAGUAGGGAAUCUUCGGCAAUGGACGAAAGUCUGACCGAGCAACGCCGCGUGAGUGAAAAAGGUUUUCGGAUCGUAAAACUCUGUUGGUAGAGAAGAACGUUGGUGAGAGUGGAAAGCUCAUCAAGUGACGGUAACUACCCAGAAAGGGACGGCUAACUACGUG